rnacentral:SRP_RNA from 8 species
AGGCGCGGAAGGCAGCAGCAGAGCGCGAGGCCUCCCGAGUGGC